rnacentral:rRNA from 1 species
GAUGAACGCUGGCGGCGUGCUUAACACAUGCAAGUCGAACGGUGAAGCUCCAGCUUGCUGGAGUGGAUCAGUGGCGAACGGGUGAGUAACACGUGAGCAACCUGCCCCUGACUCUGGGAUAACAGUCGGAAACGAUUGCUAAUACCGGAUAUGCACCAUGAACGCAUGUUCUGUGGUGGGAAAGAUUUUUCGGUUGGGGAUGGGCUCGCGGCCUAUCAGCUUGUUGGUGAGGUAAUGGCUCACCAAGGCGUCGACGGGUAGCCGGCCUGAGAGGGUGACCGGCCACACUGGGACUGAGACACGGCCCAGACUCCUACGGGAGGCAGCAGUGGGGAAUAUUGCACAAUGGGCGCAAGCCUGAUGCAGCAACGCCGCGUGAGGGAUGACGGCCUUCGGGUUGUAAACCUCUUUUAGCAGGGAAGAAGCGAGAGUGACGGUACCUGCAGAAAAAGCGCCGGCUAACUAC